GGCAGAGUAUGAAGCUGUGAAAAUGAAGUCAAAGGUCCAGUGGAGAUCCCAGGGAGUUGGACUUAUCAGAAAUAUGGAGUAUCUGCUAAAGAAAGCUGCUGGCCAUGAAUGGAGCCAGUCCAACGAGAGGCCAUGUAAGCUGCCACUGCCAGGACCAUAGAGUUAGCACUAAGCUAAGAAAUAUAUGCCAGAGCAAAUCCAAGACAGCUACCACUUGAACAAAAAGUCAAAGCAAGAAGAGGCAGAGAAACCAAAACAGGAUAUACUUUUCUGAGCUAAGCUGAAGCAUGGGUUAUAAACUCAAAUGCCUGCAGGGCCCAGAUGAGGGAAAGAAAAACAACAACAAAAAAAACCAAACUGUGUGCAUAGAAACCAAUGAUUUGGAGCGAGUGCCCAGCUGAAGCAGGAAGAGGCCAUUCGGCUAUAAAUGACUUUUGGCAUGCAUGAACUUGAAAUUAAUGGUACUGGGUCUUCCAGUUUUUAAGAAAAGUAGAACUUUUAAAAUGAGAAAUCUUUUGCAAAUGGG